AAACAGCUCUAAAGCAGACAAACUGCCCCUCUCUCCUCUGGAUCAUGCCCAUAUCAAUCAUUUUCAUUGUCUUCUCGGUUCGAAGUCUCUUCGAGCUCAAAGUAA
rnacentral:sRNA from 1 species